GGGUACAGCCAUACCAUCCUAAACAUGAUGGAUCUUGUCUGAUCCUGGAAGCUAAGCAAGAUCAAGCCUGGUUACUGCUUAGAUGGGAGAAGCACAGCAGUGUACUGGGGGUGGGGGUCACCCCUA
rnacentral:rRNA from 1 species